GGAGGGUAAGCUCAGUGGUAGAGUGUGUGCUUAGCAUGCAUGAGGUCCUGGGUUCAAUCCCCAGUACCUCCA
rnacentral:tRNA from 1 species